GGGAAGGUGGCUCAGUGGUAGAAUACUUGCCUUGUAUGCAUGAGGCCCUGGGUUCAACUACCCAGCCCCA
rnacentral:tRNA from 1 species